UUUUACUUAUAUUUUUAAAUAUUUGUUCAUUGCAUGAAAUUUGCAAAUUUGUCAAAAAGUUCUACAUAGCGAUAAGUCGUUACUGUUAUGUCACAACCAUUGCAAACAUGUUUCUGUUAAUUGUGACCACGACCGUGUCAACCAGAAUUUAACUUCACCAAUUUACCAGAAACGCUUUAUAAUUCUCAUUUCUUUGCCAUCAUGAUCAAGGUCUAAAGCAGUCGUCACUUUCCAAAUACUCUUUCUGCAGAAAAAUGUUAAUAGUGAAGUUUUUGUUUCUCAUGAUAAAUUUAGUUCUAAGCAUCCUAAUUGCAAUUUUUUAUUUUCUUUCAGUGAAUGAAACAAAACCAACCAGAAAUUUAAGGAACAGCAGAGUUUAGGUGUUCAAUUUCAGUUGAACUUUGUUUCAGUCAUACACUUAACUCUUUUGAGUUCUCACUUCUGAGGGAUGAUGUAGUG
rnacentral:misc_RNA from 1 species